UCAGCCGGCCGUCCAGUUUGCAGGAUUUCACCCCGAACUAACUUUCUCCGACUUGUAACCUCCCUCAAACUCUCUCCUGCGUAUACUGUCUCUCUCUCUCUCUCUCUCUCUCUCUCUCUCUUUCACAGCCCGGUGCUCACACAAACAGAUCAGCUUUCUCCCGCCUACCCACCCUGCUCUAGGAUUAUCCAGUUUGUGUGUGUGUGUGUGUGUGUGUGUGCGACAGAGAGUGAGUUUCAGAACAGACACCUAGAGCUCACUGCAGGACAGAAAUAUUUUCUCCGCCGCCUGGUCCAAUAACACAAGAACCCACAUCUCCCCUCCAUCCCUUCAUCCUCACCAGGGCCUUGGCGUUGGGGUUGGCCUUUUUAUCCACGAUGACCUUUGCCACC